rnacentral:tRNA from 1 species
GUGGCCAUAGUUCAGUUGGUUAGAACGUCUGAUUGUGGUUCAGAAGGUCGUGGGUUCAAAUCCCAUUGGCCACC